rnacentral:lncRNA from 1 species
AAUUUUACCACAAGCUAGUGGUUUUCGUAGGAAAACAUUGACAGGAUCCAGCUUUACGAUGUCCGCAGUAAAUUCUGUAUUCAUCCUAAUCUUCGCAAUCACGAUCACGAUGAUAAAUAUCUCAAGCAUGCACAGCUGGAACGGCAAUAUUCGGACGUGUGAGAGUGUCGGACAACGUUGCAGUAGCGGUGACAACAGUUCCUGCCUCGGAGUCUGCACUUGUGAAGAACUCGGCGAUGGCAACGGCAAUUAUUCCUACCAAUGCACGGAGCCACCUACGCCGGUAUCAAGUUUCUUUCCGAGGAAAUAAAGAGACAAUAAGCAUUUAUACCUGUCUUCAUAAAAUUUAGGGCGAAUCGCUUACUGACCUAAGUCGCGGCAAAGAGGUUGAGCAACUGGCUCAU